CAGUCGUGUUCUCUGGGAUUCAGCCUUGCUUUUGCUUGGUGCAUUUCCUAGUCUACGGGCCAGCAUGGAUUUCGACCGUCGGAAAAGGGCUGGGGGAAUGUGGCACUUUCGGGUGUGUUAUAGCCCCUGUCGCACACGUCGGUUGGGAUCGAGGACCUCAGUGCACGCUUCGGUUGUGCUUUGAUGCUGGCGUAAUGGCUUUAAAACGCCCGUCUUGAAACACGGACCAAGGAGUCUAAACAUAUGUAGCG
rnacentral:rRNA from 1 species